rnacentral:rRNA from 1 species
UACCCGCAGCCCAAGUGGUGCUCGUUAUUAUUGGGUUUAAAACGUCCGUAGCCGGUCCAGUAAAUUCUUGGGUAAAUCGACUGGCCUAACCAGUCGAAUUCCGGGGAGACUGCUGGACUCGGGACCGGGGGAGGUCGGAGGUACUUUCAGGGUAGGGGUGAAAUCCUGUAAUCCUGGGGGGACCACCAGUGGCGAAGGCGUCCGACCAGAACGGCUCCGACGGUAAGGGACGAAGCCCUGGGGCG